rnacentral:rRNA from 1 species
AGAGUUUGAUCCUGGCUCAGGAUGAACGCUAGCGGCAGGCCUAACACAUGCAAGUCGAGGGGUAACGACAGUUUCGGCUGGGCGACGACCGGCGCACGGGUGAGUAACGCGUAUGCAACCUACCUAUUGCAGGGGUAUAGCCUCCGGAAACGGGGAUUAAUACCGCAUGUUACUUAAAUAUGGCAUCAUAUUAAAGUAAAAGCUCCGGCGGCAAUAGAUGGGCAUGCGUGCCAUUAGCUAGUUGGUAAGGUAACGGCUUACCAAGGCAACGAUGGCUACGGGGUCUAAAAGGAUGGUCCCGCACACUGGUACUGAGACACGGACCAGACUCCUACGGGAGGCGGCAGUGAGGAAUAUUGGUCAAUGGGUGCAAACCUGAACCAGCCAUGCCGCGUGCAGGAAGACGGCCCUAGUGGUUGUAAACUGCUUUUCUAUGGGAAGAAUGUGUGCCACGUGUGGCAUUUUGCCUGUACCAUAGGAAUAAGCAUCGGCUAACUCCGUGCCAGCAGCCGCGGUAAUACGGAGGAUGCGAGCGUUAUCCGGAUUUAUUAGGUUUAAAGGGUGCGUAGGCGGGAUUAUAAGUCAGGGGUGAAAUCUCACAGCUCAACUGUGAAACUGCCCUUGAUACUGUAGUUCUUGAGUACAGACGCAGUAGGCGGAAUGUGUAAUGUAGCGGUGAAAUGCUUAGAUAUUACCCAGAACUCCGAUUGCGAAGGCAGCUUACUAGACUGUAACUGACGCUGAUGCACGAAAGCGUGGGUAGCGAACGGGAUUAGAUACCCUGGUAGUCCACGCUGUAAACGAUGAUUACUGGCUGUUUACGAUAUACUGUAAGUGGCUGAGCGAAAGCAUUAAGUAAUCCACCUGGGGAGUACGUCGGCAACGAUGAAACUCAAAGGAAUUGACGGGGGCCCGCACAAGCGGUGGAACAUGUGGUUUAAUUCGAUGAUACGCGAGGAACCUUACCUGGGCUUAAAUGAGAAAAGACUUUAGCCGAAAGGUUAUUUCCCUUCGGGGCUUUUUUCAAGGUGCUGCAUGGCUGUCGUCAGCUCGUGCCGUGAGGUGUCGGGUUAAGUCCCAUAACGAGCGCAACCCCUAUUGCUAGUUGCCAGCGCGUCAAGGCGGGGACUCUAGUGAGACUGCCACCGUAAGGUGAGAGGAAGGUGGGGAUGACGUCAAGUCAGCACGGCCCUUACGUCCAGGGCUACACACGUGUUACAAUGGUCGGUACAAAGGGCAGCUACAUGGCGACAUGAUGCUAAUCUCUAAAUCCGGUCUUAGUUCGGAUUGAAGUCUGCAACUCGACUUCAUGAAGCUGGAAUCGCUAGUAAUCGCGCAUCAGCAAUGGCGCGGUGAAUACGUUCCCGGGCCUUGUACACACCGCCCGUCAAGCCAUGGAAGCCGGGGGUACCUGAAGUCCGUAACCGCAAGGAUCGGCCUAGGGUAAAACUGGUAACUGGGGCUAAGUCGUAACAAGGUA